rnacentral:rRNA from 1 species
AGUGAACGCUGGCGGUAGGCCUAACACAUGCAAGUCGAACGGCAGCACAGUAAGAGCUUGCUCUUACGGGUGGCGAGUGGCGGACGGGUGAGGAAUACAUAGGAAUCUACUUUUUCGUGGGGGAUAACGUAGGGAAACUUACGCUAAUACCGCAUACGACCUACGGGUGAAAGCAGGGGAUCUUCGGACCUUGCGCGAUUGAAUGAGCCGAUGUCGGAUUAGCUAGUUGGCGGGGUAAAGGCACACCAAGGCGACGAUCCGUAGCUGGUCUGAGAGGAUGAUCAGCCACACUGGAACUGAGACACGGUCCAGACUCCUACGGGAGGCAGCAGUGGGGAAUAUUGGACAAUGGGCGAAAGCCUGAUCCAGCAACACCGCGUGAGUGAAGAAGGCCUUCGGGUUGUAAAGCCCUUUUGUUGGGAAAGAACAUAAGCAGGUGAAUACCCCGCUGUUCUGACGGUACCCAAAGAAUAAGCACCGGCUAACUUCGUG